GUGACCCGCCAUUAAGCUUGGUGGCUCAUAAUAUUUUCUCCAUGGAAACCAAGCAUACCACGGGAGGAUUCAAAGAAUUUCUAUUGGGAAAUCAAAGGGGGCAAUAACUUCAAUUGGGAGAAGUCGCUAGAAAAGAAGGAGACCUCUACCUGGUAACCAA